rnacentral:rRNA from 1 species
GACGAACGCUGGCGGCGUGCCUAACACAUGCAAGUCGAACGAGAUCCAUGGGAGCUUGCUCCCGGGAAGAUCUAGUGGCGAACGGGUGAGUAACACGUGAGAAACCUGCCCUGGAGUGGGGAAUAACUCGGGGGAAAACUCGAGCUAAUACCGCAUACCCUCGGAUGGUCGCAUGGGCCGACCGAGGAAAGAUUUAUCGCUCUAGGAGGGUCUCGCGGCCUAUCAGCUAGUUGGUGGGGUAACGCCUACCAAGGCAACGACGGGUAGCUGGUUUGAGAGAACGAUCAGCCACACUGGGACUGAGACACGGCCCAGACUCCUACGGGAGGCAGCAGUGGGGAAUCUUGCGCAAUGGGCGAAAGCCUGACGCAGCAACGCCGCGUGCGGGA